rnacentral:rRNA from 1 species
UACGUAGGGGGCCAGCGUUGUCCGGAAUUACUGGGCGUAAAGCGCGCGCAGGCGGCUAUCCAAGUCAGUGGUGAAAGCCCGGAGCUCAACUCCGGAACUGCCAUUGAAACUGUUUAGCUUGAGGACGAGAGAGGUGAGUGGAAUUCCCAGUGUAGAGGUGAAAUUCGUAGAUAUUGGGAAGAACACCGGUGGCGAAGGCGGCUCACUGGCUCGUAUCUGACGCUCAGGCGCGACAGCGUGGGGAUCAAACAGG